rnacentral:lncRNA from 1 species
ACCUGUCUCAAAAUUAAGCCAGGUGCAGUGGUGCACACCUGUAAUCCCAGUGUCUCCAGAGCCUGAGUGACGCAGGAGGAUCAUGAGUUCAAAGCCAGCCUCAGCAACAGUGAGGCACUAAGCAAUUCAUCGAGACCCUAUCUCUAAAUAAAAUACAAAAUUGGGCUGGAGAUGUAUCUUGGUGGUUAAGUGCACCAGGGUUCAAUCCCUGGUACCAAAAUAAAUAAAUACAUACAUAAAUAAAAUAAAAUAAAAUAAAAUAAAAUAAAAUAAAAUAAAAUAAAAUAAAAUAAAUACAAUUUAAAAAGGACUAAAGAAUGUAGCUCCAUGGUAUAGCACUUGCCUAACAUGUGAGGCCUGAGUUCAAUCCCCAGCACCACAAAAACCAAAAGCAAACCAAAAACAUGUCACUAUCAAAUGUGAGUCUUGCUUGUGGGUUUCUUUUCUUUCUUCCUUCCUUCCUUCCUUCCUUCCUUCCUUCCUUCCUUCCUUCCUUCCUUCCUUUCUUUCUUUCUGAAGUCAAGGAAGUUUUUGUCUCUUCCAAAUUUGUUUAGAGUUUUAUUUUUUUUUUUUAAUCACUAAUCGACGUGGAACUUUCUUGAUUCUUCCCCCCUCCAUCUAUGAGAUGAAAUACAUCUUUUCUUCUAUAGUCUGCUAUUGUUGAUUAUAACAAUAAAAUUAUAUAAUAAAACUAUAGCCUACCUAUCGUUAGGAUUAGGUUAGGCAGUGAAUGACAAAAGACCCAAAAUAGUGGCUUUCAUACCAGAGGAUGUCGGUCUUUCUCACACACGUCUGGAGCAGGCAGUUAGGGGCAGUUUGGCCCUGGUACUCCAGCAAAUGUACCAUGCCCCAGGGCCCUCCCCUCAUAGGCUGCCACUCUCCAGUGAGAUGACCUCUUUAUCCAAGGUGGCACUCUGGCCAUUGCAGCCACAUACUGCAUAGGGAGCGGCCAGAAGGGUGAGGCAGAGACAAAGGGCUGGCCAACUGAGGGCUCUCAGAAAAGGCUCCUGAAGCUGGUGGCCUGGACACAGCCCAUCUUUUACUGCAGCUUUUUAUAUACAUGUUUGUAGGUUCCAUCAACUUACAAUUUUCCUUUACCACAGUGCCCUUGAUUUUGAUAUGGCAGAUGUGUGCAAAUUGGGGGUUAAUCAUUCCUUGAAGGUCUGGCAUUGCUUAUAUGAAAAAUCUUUAUCUUGGGAGUUUUAUUGUGGGCAGAUUGAAAAACAUGUUUUAACAAUUUCGAAUUUACAGAAAGCUGAAGUAGGAUACAUACAAUUUGUCCUGAACAAAUACUCCAAUGUUUCCUACAAACAAGGGCAUUUUCUUAUGUAACCACAACGGGACCAUCAACCUCAGGAAAUGGACAUGGAUACAGGACUGCCAUCUACUCCUUGGGACCCAUGCAGGUAUCUAAAAUUGUCCCACUCGUGUCCUUUAGAGCCAAAGGAUCUGGUUCCAAGUCUCACAUUACCAAGUCUCAGUCUCUUUCAGAGUAAGGCGGAGCCAGGGCUUUCCUGAUCUUGAAGAUUACAGGCCAGUUCUCUGCAGCACACCCUGCAAUUUUGGUUUGAGUGAUGUCUCCUCAUCACUAGAUUCAGGUCUUGAGUCUUCAGCAGGAACGUCCCAGGGGCUGCUGUAUUAUGGUUUCAUCUUGUCCCAUCACCGGUAAUGUAUGCUGUGAUCCCUUGGAGAGAGUUUGCCAGGCUUCUCCACAGGAAAAUCACUGCAGAAAUCCCUUUUCCAUUUAUACUAAAUAAUUAUAUUGUGGGAGGAAUUCUGAGACUAUAUAAAUAUCCUGCUCACCAUCAAAUUCUCCCUUCCUUCCUUUCCUCCCUAACAGUUUGGACUCGUGGUUUCUUAUUUUAUUUAAGGAGUUAUAAUCUGUUACUAUCAUUACUUAUUUUGGUGCAGAGAGUAAUGCAGAUUUGCCCAUGGAUGCUCCUGCAAAGUACCUGCUGGGUCUUUCUGACCUGUCCCCAUCAUUCUUUAGGCACUUAUUUACUUUCAGUUACUACAGGCUGUUCCAGAUUCAUCUUGUGUUUUCCCUGGAGUGGCCUGGAAUCAGGCAGCACUGGCUCCUUUUAGAAGCCAAGAUUUAAGUGCUCAUUGCUUUGGGGUGUUGCUCCCAGGCACUCUCAGCAGAGAGGGCUGCAGAGUGUAUCUCUCUGAGUUCACAUCACCACCUCUGAUUCCAAACCAACAUCACGGGUUAGUUCUGUUUCUCUCUCUGGCCAUAUUUGUAAUUCUCCUUGCUAACAGUGGAAACAUGGCUCCCGUUACUUUAAUAUACUUAUUUGAUUAUUUACAACUACUCUCUCAUCACAACCACAGCUCCGUGUGUGUAGACACCCUCCUCACCCUGCAUGGGCUCUGGCAGCCCAUGCUGGACCCCACCUUCCUCGUGGCCCAGGGGAAGUAGUAGAUAAAGGCUGAUGUUGAUUGAACUGCCCCACUCAAUGCUCAGAAAUUCAAGGGUUAACCUAUAAAAAUGCCUUCUAAUUUUGAAUUGUUACCGGAAAGGAAAACAUUUGCUUGCAUAACUGGGAAAAGCUCUUAAGAAAUAUUGUCAAGUAAAUGAAAAUGCAAUUGAAAAUCCUUAUUGAACAGGUACAUACAGCAGCACACACCUGCGAUCCUAGUGAUUCAGGAGGCUAAGGCAGGAGGAUUGCAAGUUCAAGGCCAGCCUGGGUGACUUAGCAAGACUAUGUUUUAAAAUAAAAUAAAAAGAGCUGGGUUGUUCCUCGGUGGUAGAAUGCACCUGGGUUCAAUUCCCAAUACUGGAAAACAAAACAAAACACACAAGAAAUCCUUAUUGAGAGGCUGGAGUUGUAGCUCAGUGGUAGAGCACUUGCCUAGUACGUGUGAGGCACUGGGUUUGAUCCUCAGCACCACAAAUAAAUAAAUAAAUAAAUGUAUUUAAAAGUAAAAAAGAAAAAGAAGAAACCCUCAUUGAAAUCUUGGAACCUUGUGAACAACACAGCCUGAGACUCCUGGUUUGAGGCCCUUUUCCUGAACCCUGUGGUCUGCUUCUAUACCUUUGUAAGUCAUGCUUACAAAGGGUGGUUGGAUGUGCCUGCUAACUGCAUUAUUGUCACACACACACUCACUGUCACAAUACCAUUGUCCUGCUGCAUGGUCUCAGGUUGAGAAAUUCGGUGGCUUCUCGUGUCUGUGGUUCAUGGAUGUUGAUGUCCAUGGCUGACAUUUCCUAGGCUGGCCAGGGUGCCCACCUCCAGGGGCCAUCCAUCUGACAUCCUGUGUCUGAUCUGAGGUCUGAGGAACUGCAUCCUGCUGGACAGGAAGGUGUGGAAGUGGAAAGCUCUGUCAGUCCCACCCCACACCCCAGCCAUGUGCCCCUUCUGUCCUUCUGUGUCUCUGCUGAUAGCCAUCACGCGGAUCAGGUAGGGGGCCCUGGAGACGGUUAGCCACCGGCAGAGCCACCACCUGGGGAGAGGCUGGCUGGAUGUUGACCUCUCUGGGUGUUCAGGUCUCCUGCCACAGCCAGGGGACCUUGUCUCUCCCUCCUGUCUCUCCUCCUGCUUCUCUCCCUUUGGACCUUUCUAUCCAUUAUCAACCUUUCCUCCAGGUGUCUUUUUCCUUUCACUAUCUCUGUCACUUGUUUUCUCAGCCUGAUUCUGCUACUGAUUCAUUGGGCCUUGGUUUUCUCAUCUGGAAAAUGGGGAGAGGGUUGGAUCCUCAGGCCCUCCUGGCUCUUCCCUCUCCAACCGCCUGCCCCUGUAACAUGUCCUCUCAUCUGCUCCUUGUCUAUCUUGCAUUCUUACCUCUCUGCCUCUGAUUGCUCUUGGAAUCUCUCUCCUUCCCCUUCUUCUAUGACUUUACUUCCCUCCUGCAGCAUCCACUUCCUGUCUUAAUUUUUCCUUCUCUGAAUCUAGUUCUCUUUCUCCCCCUCUCUCCUUCUGUUUCUCUUGCUUGUGACUCUAGAGUCUCUGUCUCGUGUCUCUCUCUGCCUUCCUCCCUUUUUCCCAUCUAUGACAACUUGUUCUGAACUGUUUCCCUGUGUCACUGACCCCCCUCCACUCUGCUGUCUCAGUCUUUCCUAAUACCAAUGUUUCUGGGUUUCCACCCACUUCCCUCUCCCUAUUUAGAGUCCUCCUUCCUGGUCAUGCCCUGGCAGAGGACUGGGAGCUGGGCUCUGGUGCCACGAGAUCCCCACAGAGCCAGCUCCUCCCUGUGAUGGGAACACCAGCUGUGAGGCUGGCCCUUGGAAGCAGGUGGGGCCCAGCUGGCUGCCUCUGCCUCAAAGAAGGCUCGGAAAGUCACAUGUGGCACUCAGAAGGUAGAAAUCCUGCCACAUCCCAAACCCAGAGUAGGCUUCGGCUUCACGACCAAGCCUACCCUGUGUGUGUGGGCACAUGUCUCUGCACACACAGCUGGGCACCAGCUCUGGUGGUCAGCUCCCCUCAGGGAUUGCUGCUGGCGUUCAGAUUCACUGAAAGAUGGCUUCCUUUCCUUGGAGCCUACUCCAGCCUUGAUCGCAAGCUCCCAGCCCUGGGCUGGCUCUUGGAAUGUCUCCAUGUGGAGAUGAUCAACACUCACAGGGAGAGAGUUCUGGCCCAUGCACAGGUGAGGAGUUGCUUUAAACCCCAUCAAGCCUGCAGAUUCUGUGCCUUGCACUCUCCCCCCUCACUCCGUCCCAUGCUUUCUAGAAUUCAGACCUAGCAGACAUUCCCUGGCAUCCAUGGGUGCCAGGUGAUCCUGUCACUGUACACAAACCCACAGCCUCCCCAAGAGGUGGGCACAGUUCUCCAUUUCAUAGGUGAUAUUUAGGUUCCUGAGGUCACAGGCCAGACAGAGGCACAGCCCAGCACAAGUCCAAUCUGCCCAUAUUGUUCUCUGCCCACUGUGACAACUCAAGGUUGAAGAAUUGGCAGUGGGGGUGCCAGGGGGCAGGGAGAAGCUGUGUUGGCCUGCAGAAGCAGACCGUUGGCAGCUGGUCCUGGAAAAGGCACAACAGAAAUAAAGUACGUCAGACUGCUGUUCCAGUAGGGACCAGGCGGAGUUCAAGGCCCGGUGUUUUCAGGGUGGGGCAGUGUGGCAGGCCUGACUCUGUAGGGUAAGAGUUGGAGGCACAGGCAAAUCACAGGUAGCACAGCCCGGAGGAAGUGAGAAAGUCCCAAAGCAUGGUCCAAGAGGAAGCUGUGACAGGCCUCGCUUCUUGGAGGUGGCUGGAUGGUGGUUUAAUAGCACAGACAAGGAUUUGCCUCCUCCCUGGCUCACAGCCCAGGGCCUCUGGAGCACUGCAUCAGGAAAGGCUCCUCAGGUCUCCAAACCCUGGUGUCCGCUCUGUGCCAUCACUCUUGCUCCCAGUCCAUGGUAAGUUCUUCAAACACUGUGCCAGGCCUCCCCUCUGGGGUCACUGGGGCCAUGGAGAGUACUGGAUAGCACUUCAGGCUACAAACUGCCCCCUGAGCCUCCAGGACAUUGGCAAGGGCCCAUCUGACAAAUGUGGCUCCUUUCUCAUCACCGCUGCUCAGGGUUUCUGGAUUCCCUCAUCUACUCCUCGCAGUUCGCCAUCGACUCUGCGCAGUUGUUGCUUCCGUCUGGCUCCAGUUCCGAUGUUCAUCCGGGGAUGGAGAUGAAGUCGCAGAGGGGGUUUCAUCCACUUGCACAUGCAUGAGGGUGGAGGGGCUGGAAUUCACCAGACCAGGGAUCCCUUCCAAAGCCUGUGGUUCUCAUCUCCUGAUGUGCCCCAUCCUUUCCCAUCUUCCAAAUCUCUGCCUUCCCUACCAAAUUACAGCAGCACCCUGUCUCACUGGCAUGAAAAAUGGAGCAGGCACAGAGUAGAAGAUCAGAGAAUAUGGAACCCACAGAUGUGCAAAGGUGUGCAUGUGACUAGUGAGCAGGAUGCCCCCGAGGAACUUCAUCAAGAAUGGACGGGAAGAUUCUAUUGAAGCCCAGGACUAGGAGCCUGGAUGUGAGCUGCUGGCAGAAGAGGCAGACCCUCCUGGUGGCAGAGGUGUUGGCUGGCUCAGUGGGGCUGUUGCAAUACAAACGUCUCAGGCUAUAGGCUCAGCAGGAGAGGGUUUAGGCCAGGGCAGGUGUGGUCCUGUUCAACUCUACGCUGGCCUGCAGCACCUGGGCAUGUUCUGGACACUGACUGAUGUGAGAAAAAAAGGCUCACUGCAGGUACCUUCCCAUGUGGGCCUCGGCCAGGCUGCAGACCUGCGCUCAGCAUCAUGGGGACCAGCUCACCCCCGAAGCCUGACUGCUAUUCUGUGUUCUGGGCUGGACACUCCUCUGGCUUGGCACAGCCAGUUGCUUUGUGGCAUCUUAAAGUUUUGUUGUUGUUGUUGUUUAUUUUGUUUUUUGAAGUUGUGUCUAAUUGGGCUUUGCUUUCUGCAGGGUGCCCCCUGCCAAUGAGGGCCCUUCGAGGUCCCUCUGAAGCAAUUGGACCCAAGCCUUGUCCCUGUGAGAAAUCCUGGCAGGGGUCAGGAGUGACAGUUAUGCAUAAAAUCACCACCAAAGGGAAUACGUGGCCUUUUACUGUCCUGUUAAGUGAGCAAAUUCACACCCUGGGGAGGUGCAAGUUAAGUUCACAUAAAAUCUUCAUUUCCCACAUUACCAACUUGCACCUGGAGCUCCUCUGGGGCAGGGUGCAUUUGGUGUCUGCCCAGGUGGCAGGAUGGUCUCCCGUGUCUGCAGCAUCUUCCCCAGCCUAAGAACAGCUCCCCAGACUGUCUUCCAUCCCCAGGAACUAACUACUUUCACUCAAAUAGAAUUUUCUUCAUUCUCACAGAAACUUCAUUUGGAUCCUCAGAGACUGAUGCCUUUUCUUCUUACCUCGUGCUUUCUGGGGGACGUCUGGGGGACGUCUCUGAGCCCCAAAGGCCUCACCUGUAAGUGUCAUGGACCUCCAGCAGACCAAGCACUGUCCUUGUGAGAACACAGAAGAAGGCAUGCUUAUCUCCCUGGGCCCUGGGCAGAGAGUGUGCUCUCUGAGACCCCCGGUACAGGCAGCAGGCGUGGCUGUCUCUGAGCCUGCUUUUGAUGACUUGCUCCUACACUCAGCAGACUCUGACUUGGCCUUCAGUGCCUUGAGACUUUCACCUGCCAGAGCUGUCAAUAAACUACAGGAGAAGCCCAGGUGUUCCCUCUUGUAGGUGGUUCAACGCCAAGAGACGCUAGCUGAGGCCAGUUACUUGAAGAUUUGGUGCCCCCUGCUGGAUAAAGACUAAAAUGCUAAGAGGAGACAACACUUUUUCAAAAGGGCAUUUAUUUCAUCCAUCAGCAUCCUUCCAUUAACCUUUCCACCUCCCCAUUAAGCUACCAUCCACACACCCACCCAUCAAUCCAACCAACCAACCAUUUACCCAUCUAGCCAUUCACAAGCCUAUCCAUCCUAUUCAUCCAAACACACACACACAUACACACACACACAUACACAUACACACUCACACACACACGUGCCAGUCUCACUCAUGUCCUUUAGGCAUCACCCACUUUCAUAGGGUCUCCCAUUGCAACAGUCCCACGCUCCUCUUCUGCACCAGGCCCUGCAUAGGCUUCAGUGAUAGAAAAAGAAGAAGGAAGGCCUUCAUCUGUGUCUCUUUCUUAUUUGCAGAUCACCCUUAUACGCAUCAUAUCUUCUGUCCCUGUAGUGUCCUUAAAGAGCCUAAAGAUCCCAAUUUGACUGAUGAAGAAACUGAAACCUGAGAGACCAAGUGGUAUGGCAGAAAUAGUCUGGGGACAGAGAGAUCAGUUUCAAAUCAAGGCUCUGUUGCUUACUAAUUCUGCCACCCUGGGCAAGUUUCUUAAGUUCUCCAAACCUUGAUUCCUUAUCUGUGAAGUUAGCUACUUUGACAUGUAUUUAUUGUGUAUAACUUAGAUGCCAGACUUGGCUUUGGGGCACAGCAAUGAAUAAGGAGGGAGGGGCCCCUGCUCUUGUGAACCUUACUGGGCUAUUAUGGUAAAAUUUAUACGAGAUGGGAACAUCCUGCAUUGUCAUAGAAAUGCCACUUACGUCAUGUCUUUGUUACUACCUCUGUAAAGAACACAAUCAGGUUAAGAGAUGCUUUUGUGGGAAAAGAAAAGUUUAGGUAAUGUUUUAAAAAAGCAGUACAGAUAGGGGUCGGGAGCACAGACUUUGGAACCAGGCUGCCUGGUCUGAAUCCCAGCUCUGCCACCUGAGAAGCCUGUGACCUUCAGCUGGUAAUAACCUCCUUGCACUUUGGUUUUCUCAUCAGCAGAAUGGGGAUAACAAUUCAGCAUGUGCUUUAUCACAUAUCUAGCCAAGCACAUAUCGGGGCCCAGUCAUGAACAAGAUGGGGAAGGCCCUUCCUAUCUCAGGAGGGCAGAGGGGCCACUGUGUGCCAAGCACCCAGUACAGCCUGAGACUCCCAUGACUGUGUGCAGAGGCUCUUGUGGUGAAAUUCACUAGUACUUUCUGUUGUUGCUCCUUGGCUCCCUGGGGCUGAUGAGAGCAGCAACCAGGGUGCAGAAGUCCCAGUCAAUUAACAGGUCAGAAGUGUCAAUAGCCGAGCAGCCCCACGAGAGGGACUGGUAAGUGGCUAAGCAUGGAGGAGUGUGAGCAGGGUGGACAUACAAACAGGCAGUGCUGCCCAGUUGGAGAGUUGGCACAGAGGCCACUUAAAGCUCCUUCCUCAAUCAAGAGGCUCCAUUUUUCUGGGGGCACAGAUGGAGUUGCUGUUAAUACCCAUGGGGAAGCCCCCAAAAUGGAGAGAAAAUAGCCAGGGUGGUACUGCCUCUUGGGGACACUCACCAGAGCGUCUGCCUGACACCUGAGGCCCUCUGCUAUGGCUCAGUUUCUUCCAGGAUCUAGGGAGACUGGUGGACAACCUGGGCACCCUUCCCAGGGACUGCCUCCUAGUCCUAGGCACACCCCCGACGCCAGGUUGAUGUAUAUGACACCGAGACAAACCUUCUCAGCCUCCCCCCAAAUUGCAGAUUCAUGAACAAAGUAAAUGAUCCUUCUGUUAAGCCUUGAAGUUUGGGAUGGAUAACUAGACAGCUAGAGCAUGCCCUGUACUCUGCUUAGCUCUCCAAGAAUUCAAGGAGAUAAUGUGUUUCUAGAAUAUAUGAAUUAUGUCACCUUGUGAAGUUACUUACCUGCCCUCAGUCUCUGUUUCUCAUCUCUAAAAUGGUGACAGGAAUCGUAACAUCUGGAAAAAUGCACACAGAGUCACAGCAGUCUGGGUAAAUACCCCUGAUACCUGCCCCUUGUCUUCAGGGUGAAAUCUAAACUGCCAAGCCUGGUAUUUAAGGCCCGUUUCCAUUUGGUCCCUGAAAAUUCCUCCAGCCUCAUCCCCUGCCACGUCCUCCGACUCAGGAAUCUUGGCAUCGUCCAUGCUCCCAGGCCUCCAGACACCUGCUUCUGCUGAUCCCUGUCACCCAUGCAC